UUUUGACGCUUUUGACACAACAAAUUCUUUAAAAUUUGAGAGAGAGAAAAAAAUUGCUGCGAACUAAUUUAAUUAAUUAAAGCAUCUUUUGCUGUGCAAUAAACCGUAAAAAUAGUUGCUAACAAGUGAAAACUAUCGUACAACACCAUCGGAAAGCAGUCGAGAAUGGGAAGUGAUAAGCGCUACGAUACUGAUGACGAGGAUGUUGCCAUGAAAACCACCAAAGAUUCGGAUCUGAAAAAGAAGAAACACAAAAAGCAUAAAAAACACAAAAAGUCGGGGAAAGUGGACAAAGUGGAAAAAGAUUUGCAUGCAAAGAAAAAGCAUAAAAAACAGCACAAACGUAAACACAGAGAAAGUGAUGAUUCUAGUUCAGAUGUUGGUGAAAAAUUGCCAAUCAAAAUCGUACCGACAUCGUUAAGUAGUAAAUUCACGGAAAUAAUGAAAACGAAUGGCCAUUCGACUACAACCGGUCUAGCAGCUAAACUGAUCAAAAGCAUGAAGAAACCUGCCGUACCAACAGAUCCAACCGCACUAGUCGAAAUGAUCACUCAAUCUCUGGACCCGAAUGCUCUUCCAUCGCUAGAAAUUGUUUCAUCGGAAUCGGAGAGUGAUGGUCCUGCUGAAGAAGUUGACGUGGACAGUCCAGAUGUUGCUGUUAUUGAGGACGAACUGAAUCUGGAGGAGUUGAUGAAACAAAAGGCCCUUCUGCAAGCACGGCUAGGAAAUAUCGCAUCUGAAUCGGAAGAGGAAUCCGCCGUUGAACCCAAACGGGUCGAAGUGAAACAGGUAGCACCGAAAAAAAUAUCGGACGUCAUUCUGUUGGACGAUUCCAGUGGUGAAGUGCUGAUGCGUACAUCAUCCACAAAGAAGCGACAGCGAAGCUCGUCAGUGAGCCGUGAUCGGAAGAGAAGAGAAGAACGUCGCGAAUCUUCUCGUGAACGGUACAACAGAGAACAGGACAAAAUGAAACAACGACGCAACGAUGACAAUCGGAACAAGGAAGAUUUACGACGUGAAAUCGAUAGAGACAAGGAACGGUCUUUCAGAGAUCGACGACGAGACGGUGGCAAUGGUGGUCGGAUGGAUGGUCGAUUCAACAGGGACAGAAACCGAUAUUCAAUCGACGGAGAUCGUCGGAAUCAAAGAAGUCGUAGCCGUGAUCGGUACGAUAGGGACAACAUGGAUCGGCAAAGAGACCGGGACCGCGGAAAUAGAAAACGUGAGGAGAAGAACGAUAAAUUCGUCGGUUCGUUGAGUGAAGGACAGAAAGCGGAUAAGGAAUCGAGUAGUGACAGUGAAAUCGGUGACAUUAAGGUGAAUGACAAUGAGGACGAAGAUGACGAAGAGAAAAUUAUCGAAAUGAGACGAAAGAAGCGAGAAGAGCUUAUGAAGAAGCUAGCGAAUACCCAAGUCGUUGCUCCAACAGCAUCGAACCGAGCGGAAAGUGAUGAGGAUUGUAUAUUCGUACAAACUGAACCAAUUGCCGCAAAGAAACCGUUGCCACCACCAGCACCAGUAACCAAGGCUCCAAAACAACUUAGUCCAGCUAAACCGGUUGUAAUUGAACAGUUCGAUGAUAUUGAAUCAACAACGCCACCACUACCAGCUGGAAUGUUGCCAUUAAAGCUUGCCGCUAAACCAGAACUUGCUGCUAAAACUGAAACCGAUGUAAUCGUAGAGGCAGGUAAUGAUGUCGACUUGAUUAACCACGACAAAGUCAACAAAAUCAAGGAGGCUAACAAGCGGUCAGAGUGGGAUAUGUUUGCGGAACAAGACAACUAUUCCAAUUUCGAUAGUCCAAGUGCGUCGAUCACCAGCAAACACAUUCACGACAACCCAUCGCUGACAGAUAACUGGGACGACGCUGAGGGCUACUAUAGAGUUCGCAUUGGCGAAGUGCUAGACAAUCGAUACAUCGUUUCAGGUUUCACAGGUCAAGGGGUAUUCAGUAAUGUGGUAAGUGCACGAGAUCAGGCACGCGGAAAUGCUAACACAGCCGUUAAAAUCAUACGAAACCAUGAGAUCAUGCACAAAACUGGUCUCCGCGAACUGGAAAUAUUGAAGAAGCUCAACGAUGCGGAUCCAGACGAUCGCUUUCACUGUUUGCGGUUGUAUCGACACUUUUUCCACAAACAGCACUUGUGCAUGGUGUUUGAGCCGCUGUCGAUGAACUUGCGUGAAGUUUUGAAGAAGUAUGGCAAAAAUGUUGGAUUACACAUCAAAGCAGUGCGAAGCUACACACAACAAUUGUUUUUGGCUUUGAAGCUUCUUAAGAAAACGGGCAUCCUUCAUGCCGACAUCAAGCCCGAUAACAUUCUCGUCAACGAAAGCAACCUGAUUCUGAAACUUUGUGAUUUCGGUUCCGCAUCGCACAUCAGCGACAACGAAAUAACGCCAUAUUUGGUGUCGCGAUUCUAUCGAGCACCAGAUAUCAUUUUGGGUAUGACAUAUGAUUAUGGUAUUGAUAUGUGGUCAGCCGGUUGUACCAUCUAUGAAUUGUAUACGGGAAAAAUUUUAUUUAGCGGCAAGUCGAAUAAUCAGAUGCUCAAAUUUUUCAUGGACUUGAAGGGGAAAAUACCGAACCGAAUCAUUCGGAAGGGACAGUUCAAGGAUCAGCACUUUGAUGCAAGCUGCAAUUUUCUUUAUCACGAAAUCGAUAAGCUGACUGAAAGGGAAAAAAUCGUCGUAAUGCCAGUGAUCAAACCGAUUCGUCAUUUACAACAGGAAUUAAUCGCCGAUCAAAAUUUACCUGAAGACCAACACCGCAAAGUGACCCAGUUACGUGAUCUAUUGGACAGUAUAUUCGCACUGGACCCAUCGAAACGGCUGUCGUUGAACCAAGCGUUGGCCCAUCCGUUCAUACAGGAAAAGAUGUAAAACGAGAACGGGUGGCGAGAAAAGAGAAAAGAAGAAGAAAAAACAUUAAAGUUUUGUGUGCUAAAAAAAAACAAAUUUUCGUAAUUCUCGUUUCCAAGCAUUAUAUGCUAUUAAGUAUGCAACCUCUUCGAUUGAAAUCAGCCGCCAGCAGUUUGAGCGAGAAUGCAUCCAGAGAAGUAAAUCCCGUAAUAUUCCGCAAAGCGAAUUAUUCAUGUGACGGGAGAGCCGAGUCUGUGAUAUCUGAUAAGCGUUUCAAUUUAGCGCAAAAAGAGAUAAAUGUUCUCGGAUAAAAGGAGACCGACUUUAUUGUUCCGAAACACCAUUAAAUCUCAUUUUGUCUCAUUGAGAAGAAAAAACCGACAAAUAAAAUCAGUUUGUUUUUCCGCUCGGUUUAGCUAAUGAGAUAAAUAUUGACAGAUUGGGUGGCAUUUACGAACAAUUACAUCGCUGUUUGUCGUGUCACUCACAUCUAAAAUCAAAUUUAAU